rnacentral:rRNA from 1 species
AGAGUUUGAUCCUGGCUCAGGAUGAACGCUGGCGGCGUGCUUAACACAUGCAAGUCGAACGAACCUUCGGGUUAGUGGCGGACGGGUGAGUAACGCGUGGGAAUCUGCCCUCAGGAGGGGGAUAACGGUUGGAAACGGCCGCUAAUACCCCAUAUGCCGAGAGGUGAAAUGAAUUUCGCCUGAGGAUGAGCCCGCGUCUGAUUAGCUAGUUGGUGAGGUAAGAGCUCACCAAGGCAUCGAUCAGUAGCUGGUCUGAGAGGAUGAUCAGCCACACUGGGACUGAGACACGGCCCAGACUCCUACGGGAGGCAGCAGUGGGGAAUUUUCCGCAAUGGGCGAAAGCCUGACGGAGCAACGCCGCGUGAGGGAUGAAGGCCUCUGGGCUGUAAACCUCUUUUCUCAAGGAAGAAGAUCUGACGGUACUUGAGGAAUAAGCCACGGCUAAUUCCGUGCCAGCAGCCGCGGUAAUACGGGAGUGGCAAGCGUUAUCCGGAAUUAUUGGGCGUAAAGCGUCCGCAGGCGGCCCUUCAAGUCUGCUGUUAAAACGUGGAGCUUAACUCCAUCAUGGCAGUGGAAACUGUUGGGCUUGAGUGUGGUAGGGGCAGAGGGAAUUCCCGGUGUAGCGGUGAAAUGCGUAGAUAUCGGGAAGAACACCAGUGGCGAAGGCGCUCUGCUGGGCCAUCACUGACGCUCAUGGACGAAAGCCAGGGGAGCGAAAGGGAUUAGAUACCCCUGUAGUCCUGGCCGUAAACGAUGAACACUAGGUGUCGGGGGAAUCGACCCCUCCGGUGUCGUAGCCAACGCGUUAAGUGUUCCGCCUGGGGAGUACGCACGCAAGUGUGAAACUCAAAGGAAUUGACGGGGGCCCGCACAAGCGGUGGAGUAUGUGGUUUAAUUCGAUGCAACGCGAAGAACCUUACCAGGGUUUGACAUCCUGCGAAUCUCUUGGAAACGAGAGAGUGCCUUCGGGAACGCAGUGACAGGUGGUGCAUGGCUGUCGUCAGCUCGUGUCGUGAGAUGUUGGGUUAAGUCCCGCAACGAGCGCAACCCACGUCUUUAGUUGCCAGCAUUUAGUUGGGCACUCUAGAGAGACCGCCGGUGAUAAACCGGAGGAAGGUGUGGAUGACGUCAAGUCAUCAUGCCCCUUACAUCCUGGGCUACACACGUACUACAAUGCUACGGACAAAGAGCAGCAAGUUCGCGAGGACAAGCAAAUCUCAUAAACCGUGGCUCAGUUCAGAUCGUAGGCUGCAACUCGCCUACGUGAAGGAGGAAUCGCUAGUAAUCGCAGGUCAGCAUACUGCGGUGAAUACGUUCCCGGGCCUUGUACACACCGCCCGUCACACCAUGGAAGUUGGCCACGCCCGAAGCCGUUACUCCAACCCUUGUGGAGGAGGACGUCGAAGGUGGGGCUGAUGACUGGGGUGAAGUCGUAACAAGGUAGCCGUACCGGAAGGUGCGGCUGGAUCACCUCCUAA